GAGUUAGGGUUCCUUUACGGGCCCGACCUCCAACCCGGUGUCUAAACUUACCACUGUUGCUUCGGCGGGCCCGCCUGUAAAAGGGCCGCCGGGGGUGCCCGUCACCUCUGGCCCGCGCCCGUCGAUAGCCCACAACAAACUCUUUUAAACCGUGUCCUGUCUGAAUAAACCAAAAAAUUAAGCACAAAACUUUCAACAACGGAUCUCUUGGUUCU
rnacentral:misc_RNA from 1 species